UACGGAGGGUGCAAGCGUUAUCCGGAUUCACUGGGUUUAAAGGGUGCGUAGGAGGGCAGGUAAGUCAGUGGUGAAAUCUCCAAGCUUAACUUGGAACUGCCGUUGAUACUAUCUGUCUUGAAUACCGUGGAGGUGAGCGGAAUAUGUCAUGUAGCGGUGAAAUGCUUAGAUAUGACAUAGAACACCAAUUGCGAAGGCAGCUCGCUACACGAAUAUUGACUCUGAGGCACGAAAAGCGUGGGGAU
rnacentral:rRNA from 1 species